AAUAAGUUGGCAGAUUAGUGCAUUAAAUUUAGAAUUUAAAUAAAUACGUGUAGAGUAUCCUUAUUA
rnacentral:tRNA from 1 species